rnacentral:RNase_P_RNA from 1 species
UUUCGGGUAAUCGCGGCUUGAGUAUUCAAGCUGAGGAAAGUCCAUGCUCGCACAGACUGAGAUGUCUGUAGUGUUCGUGCUUGGCGAAAAAAUAAGCCAAGGUACAUGUUUAUGUAACGGCAGGAAAAACAAGCUAAGGUUUCGGCUAUGCUGGAGUAUCCUUGAAAGUGCCACAGUGACGAAGCAACUGGAGGAAACUCCGUUGGUGGAACGCGGUAAACCCCUCGAGCGAGCAACCCAAACGAUGGUAGGGGCGCUUCUUGGACGGAAAUGAACGGACCAAGAGGGCAAUUUUUUGCAGAUAGAUGAUUACCCCGAUUGCUUACUCCCUGAGAAGUAGUCGGACAAAACAUGGCUUACAG